GGUGUACCAACCAACCAACUAACUCCAAACUAACUCCCAUCCAAGCUCCCGGGUGUCUUGGAUUCGAUUCUAUAAAGAGUUGUUCUUUGUUCUGAAACCGAGUUUUAUUGAGAAAAACCAAAAUCCAAGAUGGCGGCAGAAAGAUAAAUUUCGAAAUGGCGAAAAAUGUUGUUUAAAUUUUGGACCGUUUCUCUUUUCUACAGGUACCUAACUUUAAUAAAAAAUGGAUGGGGAAGAAAAAAAAAACUGCUUCACUAUUUCAACAAUUUUAAAGCCAUAAAUCAAUAAUAAACGGUAUAAAAAUCUUAAAUUCUAAUCAUCGACAUCGUCUUCAAUACAAACAACUUCUGAAUCUGAAAAAAACAACACUUCACGAUCGUAAUCUUGGAGUUUGUCCAAG